UACGAAGGGGGCUAGCGUUGCUCGGAAUUACUGGGCGUAAAGGGAGCGUAGGCGGGUUAUCAAGUUGGAGGUGAAAGCCCAGGGCUCAGCCUUGGAAUUGCCUUCAAAACUGAUAACCUAGAGGAUGAUAGAGGUAAGUGGAACUCCGAGUGUAGAGGUGAAAUUCGUAGAUAUUCGGAAGAACACCAGUGGCGAAGGCGACUUACUGGAUCAUUACUGACGCUGAGGCUCGAAAGCGUGGGGAGCAAACAGG
rnacentral:rRNA from 1 species